AUAACAAUACAGGACUCUUUCCAGGCCCUGUAAUUGGAAUGAGUCCACUUUAAAUCCUUUAACGAGGAUCAACUGGAGGGCAAGUCUGGUGCAGAGUGACUGACCCGUGCGUGCUGCAGCUGAAACUCCGCUGUCUCUCCAG